GGCCAGAUGACGACGCCGAUCAGACUACUCCUGGACUUCCCUGGCACUGGCAGGUAGUUCCAAGGCCCCCCUAAGCUCCUCCUUUUGGUGAUGUUAGCCGUGAAACUGCAGGUGCUAUACUUGCAAAGGUGGAGAUGUAAGAGCAAAGAAAAAAGGGGGUAAACUAGCUCGUACUGGAGAACUAAACUGAACUUCUCUAUUUAUCGAGCAUAUCAUUGUACCACGGGAAGACUUCCCCCAAGAUCAAUGCACAUGUAUAUCCGAAAUCGGGGAGUCAAGAACAAUCUUAAUCCAAGGGUGAGGUGCCGUGACUGCUGAUAAAGUACGUCUGUCACACCAGGAAAUGUAAUUUUUCAGUUGCAUAUAGCAAGGAAGGUCAAUUUGACACAGCUACGCUGCCAUUCGCCUCUCCCUUCUCCCGUGGAAAUGUAGUUGAUGUUCCUCAGAUCUUCAAGUUGGUGCCCCUGUUUGAUGAAACAUUUUAGUGAGAUUAUGUGGAUCUUUGGGGAAAUCUAUUUCUGCUUCUUGAUGGAAUUCUUUUCAUCCAGUAGUUAAGAAGCAAACAAAUGGCUUGAACAGUUCUCUUUGUUGCAUGACAAGUUUUCUUCCUGUGGAAGAUAUUGUGUAUCUUCCAUCUAGCAUCGUAAAAAGGCGGUCUUAGAUUGCUCUGUACUAAUGAUUGUCUUGAGGGCUUAUUUCAUUCAUACUGCUCUGAAUUAAUCAUACUCUCCUGUUACCUCAUUACCUCAACCACGCAAGCAGCGGUGACGCCGGACAGGUCGCUCUUGCACCACCAGACUCCCUUCAGGGUAGUUACCCAUGGGCACACAAGGACGCUGAUCAUCAAGGAAGCACGCGCGCGCGCGGAGGCAGAUAGAUGGACGCGGUUCCUCCAUCCGCGGCUCUGCAGGCAGCGCCCAUGGUCCAAACUCGAAAUGUACAUCAAGAAACAAAAAUGUGAAAUCUGGCAUGAAUAGUGUAAGAAAAAGACAAAAUCAAC